UACUUUGCACAGUGGCAAUGUCGUAACUAAUAAGGUGCAUCCGAGGUUCAUUAUUGCUUAUUGAAAACGUUUGCCAACACCCCGCAGUGGGGGCGUGAAAUAUCCCCACACCGACAAUUUCUGGACAAUAUACAUACAU